AUUGAACGCUGGCGGCAGGCCUAACACAUGCAAGUCGAGCGAGCGGCGGACGGGUGAGUAAUGUAUGGGGACUGCCCGAUAGAGGGGGAUAACUACUGGAAACGGUGGCUAAUACCGCAUACUAUCGGAUAACCCAUAUGGGAUUAGCUAGUAGGGGGGGUAAAGGCUAACCUAGGCGACGAUCCCUAGCUGGUCGGAGAGGAUGAUCAGCAAACCUGGGACUGAGCCAGGGCCCAGACUCUUACGGAGGCACCGGGGGGGAACUUUGCACAAUGGGCGCAAGCCGGAGGCAGCAAUGCGGCUGGUAUGAAGAAGGCCUUAGGGUUGUAAAGUACUUUCAGCGGGGAGGCGUUACCCGCAGAAGAAGCACCGGCUAACUACGUGCCAGCAGCCGCGGUAAUUC
rnacentral:rRNA from 1 species